rnacentral:lncRNA from 1 species
AAAGGGAAAAGGGUGUGUGAUGUUGGGAGCUGGCCUUCUUGAUGUCACAGGCAGUAAGGGCAUGCCUCCUGUAACCACCUCUGUGUUUUUCAGGCGUGCAUGGCUGUGCCUCAGCGAAUUGCUGAACAGACCAACUUAGCCAAACAAUCAAGUCUGUUCAGAGGAGGACAUUAAUGGGAAGUGAGUGGGCAUGUAAUCGUAUAGUCAGAACAAUAAGUUGGAAGAGCUUUGCUUUUGCUUUUCUCCAAUUGUUGUUUUCACAGUCCGCCUGGCACAGAAGCUGGCUCAGCGCGGUGAUCCCUGGGGAGUCCGCAAAAGGGCCAGUCUUUCAUCAGAGACCGCGGUAAAGACUACAACUCCCAGUUUGCCGAAUGGCUCCUCGGGGCGGGAGCUCGCAGGCCAAUCCCCGAGGAGGAGUGAGUGAGGCCAGCAGGUGGCUGGCUGCUGGGGUCCAGCGCCCGGAGGGCAGCGGGCGCGUCGCUGGAGCUGAGUGCAGAGAGUGCCAAGAAUAUUUUUGGUAAGGACUUGGAGAGAUGGCAAUAUGUGACUUUAUUUUUUAAAACUAUAAACUCUGUAUAAAUGUAAG